rnacentral:misc_RNA from 1 species
AUUGAGCAAUGGAUUGAUUUUGCAACAUUGGAGAUCGAUGCAAAUAUUUUGCACUGGUUUGUACCAAGAAUUGGAUAUGCUGUAUACCUUCCUCUGGCUGAGGAGCUGCUAUUGCUGCAUUGAAGAGAGCACCGACUGCUUUAAACAUGCAUCUUGCUUCCAACAGUUGCAUGGUUGGACAUUCUGUGACAUUUGCUGAUAUCAUUAUGACGUGCAAUUUGACGUUGGGAUUUAGCUGGAUCUUGACUAAGAGCUUUACAUCUGAAUUCCCUCAUGUUGAGAGAUAUUUCUGGACUAUGGUUAACCAGCCAAAUUUCCGAAAGAUAUUUGGUGAAGUGAAGCAAGCAGAAUCUGUACCACCUGUGCAGUCAGCAAAAAAGUUUUCACAGCCAAAUGAACGUGCAAAAUCAAAGACAAAGGAUGAGCCAAAGAAAGAGGCCAAAAAGGAAACGAAGAAAGAACCAACAAAGCCUAAAGAAGUGGCUAGCGAGGAGGAAGAGGCACCCAAACCCAAACCGAAGAAUCCUCUUGAUCUUUUGCCUCCAAGUAAGAUGAUCCUUGAUGAAUGGAAGAGGCUUUACUCAAACACGAAGUCCAACUUCCGAGAGGUUGCUAUUAAAGAAACUACAUGUGGUCAGAAUAAGAAGAAACGGGUUGCGCAUGGGAGCUACAGGUUCUUCGUCCGGUCAUCGGAUUUCAGAUGAAGGCUGAUCGGCAGCCAAGGCAAUCUUCGGAGUGGGAGUUUCCCAUUUCAGACUUGCCAGAGAUUAACAUCUGUUUUCGCUUACUGUUGCACGAUUUUGGGACAUGUAUGAUCCUGAGGGUUACUCCCUUUGGUUUUGUGAUUACGAGUACAAUGAUGAAAAUACCAUCUCGUUUGUUACAUUGAACAAAGUGAGUGGUUUCCUGCAGCGGAUGGACUUGGCUCGUAAGUAUGCUUUUGGGAAGAUGCUGGUGAUCGGCUCACAACCACCCUUCAAGGUGAAGGGACUGUGGGUCUUCCGUGGACAAGAGAUUCCCCAGUUUGUGAUUGAUGAAUGUUAUGACAUGGAGCUAUAUGAGUGGAAGAAGGUUGACAUUAUAGAUGAAUCGCAAAAGGAAAAGGUCAACCAGAUGAUUGAAGACCAUGAGCCUUUUGAGGGUGAGGAUCUAUUAGAUGCCAAGUGCUUCAAGUGAUAAGAUCCUGUCGGCUGUCUGGGUCAAGGACCAAGGUUUAGGGGUCUCUUCCUAAAUUUUGUUGUUUCAAAUAGGUUUUUUCUCUUUUCAUUUAGUAGUUUUGCAGAUUUGUUGUUAGAUGACUUGAUGAAUUCGAAAACCGAAUAGAUAGGCUUGUACUUUUGGUUGAAUCAUGCCCAAUUAUAUCAUUUUCCUUUUUAAGUUUUGUGUCAAA